rnacentral:rRNA from 1 species
GACGAACGCUGGCGGCAUGCCUAACACAUGCAAGUCGAACGAAGCCUUCGGGCUUAGUGGCGCACGGGUGCGUAACGCGUGGGAAUCUGCCCUUGGGUUCGGAAUAACAGUUAGAAAUGACUGCUAAUACCGGAUGAUGUCUUCGGACCAAAGAUUUAUCGCCCAAGGAUGAGCCCGCGUAGGAUUAGGUAGUUGGUGGGGGAAUGGCCCACCAAGCCGACGAUCCUUAGCUGGUCUGAGAGGAUGAUCAGCCACACUGGGACUGAGACACGGCCGCGAAACGUACGGGAGGCAGCAGUGGGGAAUAUUGGACAAUGGGCGAAAGCCUGAUCCAGCAAGGCCGCGUGAGUGAUGAAGGCCUUAGGGUUGUAAAGCUCUUUUACCAGGGAUGAUAAUGACAGUACCUGGAGAAUAAGCUCCGGCUAACUCCGUGCCAGCAGCCGCCGUAA